rnacentral:rRNA from 1 species
GCGUGGAGCAUGUGGCUUAAUUUGACUCAACGCGGGAAAUCUUACCGGGUCCGGACACACUGAGGAUUGACAGGCAAUAUAUGUGACUCUUCGGAGUUUGCAUUGUUAAAUAUGCUAGUCCUUUCAUGAUUAUGUGAUAGGUGGNGCAUGGCCGUUCUUAGUUCGUGGAGUGAUCUGUCUGCUUAAUUGCGUUUCAAAUUACUUAUAAGGUAGCAAUACGCGAUGAAGCUUUCAAUA